rnacentral:lncRNA from 1 species
AUAAAAUUCAACAAAAAACUGUUGACAUGACAUCAGCAGCAUCAGCCGUUCCCCCAUUGAAAUGCAACACAGCCGAGUUCACUCCCAACUCAAAUGAAACUUUAUAUUUGGCUUUAUAAAAACAUU